AAUAAUCCUUUGUUUUAUUUGAUUUUUAUUCCUCGAAUUAAAAUGUUUAAAAUACCAAAAUGCUUGGAGGAGUUGGUUUUUGUGUUAAUUUUUAAUACGAAAAUAUUUACAAACUUACUCGCAAUAGACAAUACUCAUCUUAGAAGGUGCCGUAAAAACCAAAAGAUCCAAAGGAAGGAUCUUCAAGAAGGGACGAAGAGGUUCGAAUGUGCUCAAGCAAACAAGCCAAACAUUAAAGCCUAUAUUGUUCGUGUCUCCAAUCGAAUUCGAAGAAGUAAAUUUAAAGAACAUUGUAAAGAACCUGCAAAAAAAUGUUCACCAAAUCAUUUACAAAGUAUUGUCAGAGAAAAGGAUGUCAAAUUCAAAAAAAAAAGACUGAUAGUCUUUUAAAAAUCGGCUGCUGAUACCAUCAAGAGACUUUUUGUUGUGAACUCCCGAGAUAAAAAAUUGUGAAAUUGUUAAUAGAAUUAGUCUGAAUCGUGCCAUCCUUAGAUCAGUCUUAACCCAUCAUAAAAGACAGACUUGGUCAGUAUGGGUAUAUUGCGAGGUACUAAUUUGAGGUCAAAAAAUGUGUUUGCAUGGGAACAAAAAAAAAGAAACAAACGUGGAAUAAUAUCAUCAAAUAUUACAAAUAUUCCAUACCAAAAAUAUACAAAAUCACUUAAUCCCUUUAUAACAAAAAAACAAAAAUCAUUUUUCUUCGAUAAAUGUUUGCGAUAAAAACAAAUCAUAUCUGGAAAUAUUUUAAAAUUCCAUUUCAUUCAAAAUGUCAAUCAACAAAAUUUGAACGAAAUUGGUUCAGUUUUAAAGGUGUUCGCAUAAACGGAAAGAACAAACAAAUAAGGCUCAUUGUUCGAGGUUAAAUUGGUUGAAAUCAAUUUCAAAUGCAUUGCUCUAGAUUUACAUAAAAACAAAAAUCAAUAUGACCAGAUAACACACUAACGAACAUGUAAAAUAUUUAUAUUUCAUAGAAUAACUGUCGAUUCAUAUUUUUAUGAUUUAAAAAAAAAAGGU